UCAUUGGUGGUCUAGUGGUUAGCAUAGCUGCUUUCCAAGCAAUUGACCUGGGUUCAAUUCCCAACCAGUGCA
rnacentral:tRNA from 1 species